UACGUAGGGUGCAAGCGUUGCCCGGAUUUAUUGGGCGUAAAGGGCGCGUAGGCGGCCUGCUAAGUCGGACGUGAAAUCCCUCGGCUCAACCGGGGAACUGCGUCCGAUACUGGCGAGGCUUGAAUCCGGGAGAGGGAUGUGGAAUUCCGGGUGUAGCGGUGGAAUGCGUAGAGAUCCGGAAGAACACCGGUGGCGAAGGCGGCCUGCUGGGCGAGUGGCUGACACUGAGGCGCGACAGCGUGGGGAGCAAACAGGG
rnacentral:rRNA from 1 species